CACGUAGGGCGCAAGCGUUGUCCGGAAUUAUUGGGCGUAAAGAGCUCGUAGGCGGUCUGUUACGUCUGCUGUGGAAACCCGGGGCUUAACCCUGGGCUUGCAGUGGAUACGGGCAGACUAGAGGCAGGUAGGGGAGAAUGGAAUUCCCGGUGUAGCGGUGAAAUGCGCAGAUAUCAGGAGGAACACCGGUGGCGAAGGCGGCUAUCUGGCCCAAUAUUGACGCUGAGAUGCGAAAGCGUGGGGAUCAAACAGG
rnacentral:rRNA from 1 species